rnacentral:lncRNA from 1 species
GCAUGUGCAAAAAUGGAACAAAUGACACUCAUAAUGAAAUAACACAAACACGCAUCUCUCCUCAAUCUCAUCAGCUCAGUCCUAUAUCCGCCGCACCGGAGGCGUCUCCGGCGGCAGAGCCACCACGAAACAACUAUCAAUCACUAUCACCCUACCCCGUUUAGCACCCUGAGUCCGAAUCUGAUCAUGGAAAUUUAUAAAUGUUCUUGAAUCAUGUAAAUCGAAGGGAGACAAAGAUGAAUCCUAAUCAAUCAAAGUUAAAUUAAAUAGUAUACAUUCACAGAUUCACGUUCAGACCAUGGUGUUAUGAAAGCUAGACGUUUCAUCUACACAAUAGUAACUAUUUCACGGCAAACAGAAGAUAAAUAAUUUACCUCCGAAAUAGAGAAUUGUUCCAACAAAUGUUGAACGGAGAAGACGGAGGCGCACGGGAAAUCACUUGAAAAAACUGGUAAGUCACGAUGCUAUCUUCUUCUUCACCUUCACUUCUUCUUCCAAAUUCUUCUACGAAACAAAAUUGAACCUUGAAUGAUUGAGAGGAAAGGUCUAGCUCACUCUUGUUGAAGCUUCGAGUGAAGCUUCAAUGGAGUUCUGAAAUCGAGAUUUGAGUGAGAGAGGGGAUUGAGAUUGAGAGAAUCAGAGUGAAACUGAAAUUUCGGAAAUUUGUGGAAAUGAAGCACGAUCCCAAAUCAGUGAAGAGUGAAUCCAUUUAUAGCCAUUGAGUUUCUGUUAUGAGAUGCACCCUAAAUGCAUUUGAAAUUCACUUGAAAUGCCAAGUUAGUUGGAAUGCAAAAUUCUGUUUAGAGAUGCAACUCAAAUUGCAAUAAAAUUCUGUGGGAUUACAAUGGAAUUCAAUUAUUGCACACUGAUAUGAAAAUGCAGGGUGUUAACUGGACUUAUGAAAAUCAUGCUUGUGUAUUGAAUGAUCAGCUUGAAGAAAUCGUGAAUGGAAUUAUUGUCAAUUAUUUAGCCUUAUUAUGAAGUUUAAAUUGAAUUGCUUGAAAUCAUUUAUUUUGUUAACUUGUUCAUUGGCUUGUAGGUUGGAAUUUGUUGCAGGUGCAUGGUAAUGUUGUGGUGUAACUUGCAGCUUGGGUGGAAUCUUGAGUUUGGAUGCAUUGCAGGUGCAUGGAACUUCACUUGUGUGCAACUGACUUAGAAAGAAUUAGAUUGAGAUUUGGAUUAUAGGUUGUCCAUUUGGCUUGGUCAUUUUGUAGCAGGGUAAUAUGGCAAGGUAGCAAGGGGAGUGCUUGGAAUAGGAUGCUUGGGCUGCUUCGUGGAAUUUGGCAUGUUAGGGAUGUCAUGGAAUCAACUAUGGAUUUCCAUUGUUGUACUUUGGUUGUAAUUAGAAAAUUGACAAUGGGUGUAUGUAUGGUUAUGUUAUGUAUGUGUAUGUGGUCAUGUAUAAUAUUGGAAUUUGGUUGUAAAAUUACAAUGAAAUGAUUGUUAUGAAUGAAUGCCUAAAAUUUGAAUGGUUUAGAUUUUAUUAAUUGUUUGAAAGCUCGGAUGUAUAUCGGAUGAAAUGGUGAGUUUGGAUAUAGAUGGAUUAAAGUUGUAUUGAUUUGUAAUGGAAUGGAAAGUAUAUGUGGUAUGCUUAUUUUGGAAA